AGAAAGUGCUCGUGGCCAACCUCUGCUUGAUCCUCGACGUGUCUGGCCAGCUGACUGAGCGCCAAGCAACCCUGGUAGACAAGGAGGUACGCAAAUUUUACCAGCUUUGUUUGGACGAGAGAAACUUACCACACGUUUUACUCUGAAGUCAUUGUGCGUGAGGAGCGCGGCAAGGUGUGGUGUAGCUCCAGCUUCGAUCACAACUUGGGACAACUCCGGGGUAUGUUUUGCUAUUUCCGAGAGCGCUGUGCCUGCGGCUGUUCGCAGCGCAAUCUCGGGUUCCUGAUAAGUUCAUGAGUUUCAUCUUAGCAGGAUGGAAGAGCUUUUACAUACCUGGACGCAAAGAAUGAGGAAUCCAAUCGCUCGAGCGUCCGCCACG
rnacentral:lncRNA from 1 species